rnacentral:rRNA from 1 species
UAAGCACCGCUACUGUGCCGCAUCGGUCACGUUCCGAUUUACUGGUUUAAGGGUGCGAGGCGGUGAGCAUGGUGAACUCCAUACUGUAAUGACUCCUGAGUUGGGGAGGUGGCGAUACAAUGUGGGGAAAUGCAUAUAUGUAGACACCAUUGCGUAGGCAGCUACUAAAACUGACGCUCAUGCACAAAGCGGGGUAGCGAACAGGAUUAAUACCCUGGUAGUCCCGCCCUAACUGUUUACUCGAUCUUCUGUGGGUCCGAAAGCGUUAAGAAACACCUGGGGGUACGUUGCAAGAAUGAAACUCAAAGGCACAAGUUUAUCGCGGAGAACUUACCUGGCUAGGUCAGAGACGCAGGUCUGCAUGGUUUUCAGCUCGUGCCGUGAGGUGUGGGUUAAGUCCCCAACGACGCACCCCUAUGUUAGUUGCACGGACUCUAGGAGACUGCCUGC